GCUUCUUCUGUAGGAAGGGAAUUGGUGACAUCUGUCUCAGUGAGCAUCUGGUGACAGCCCAAGAACACACAGGCACUGAGAGGGACCACAUCCUUCUGAAUCCCUUUGGAUUGAAGAGCUUGCCUCUGAAGGCCUUGGGAGUCAGAAUCAGCUUGGAAGAUUUUUAUGAGCCUGCUAGCUUUGAAGAAUACAAGAAGUUCGAGCAAGGAGAGGUUCCCUGCAGCACAGCACAGCUGCCUUGCCAGAUCAUGGCCAGACUGCUUCUUUAAGCGGUACCUCAAUCUAUUCCUCUUCACUGGGCAAGUCCUCCCUGCAGGGGCUUCAGCCACACAAGCAAGGGUUCUACAGACAAAGUUCUGAUCUCUCCCUGGAAUGAAGCUCACAGGGGAAGAGCAGCUGUCAUCUCUGCAGUUUGGUAAACUCAGCCAUUCCAGCCUGCCAACUUUGGAAAAUACAAAUGGUCCAGGCAAGGAAGGGUCUCCUGGCACCUACUCUACCAAAGGGCAGCCAGAGGGCUUCUUGGGGUGGGUCCCUGAUCCCAUUCCUCCCGAGUGGGUGGGACCUCCCAGCAGGGGUCUCCAGCCACCUCCUACAGGCAUGUUCCUUCUGGCAACAGGUCAGUGCAUCCCUGGGAUGGAGCUUCCAGAGGAAGGAGCAGGCUGCCAUCUUUGCUGUUUUGCAGGCUUCACUGACGAUACCUCCAGGUACAGGGAAAAACUGAAGCAACUAAGGUCUGGAGUGGACCCCCAGUAAACU
rnacentral:lncRNA from 1 species